CUUCUACUACACAAAUGGUUGCUGUUCAGGAACCAACCAUUUCGCUGGCACAUUUGUGUUUUCCCUUUGCAAACUCUUCUCAUCAAAGACUUCUGUAAAGUAUCCAGCCUUCCUGAAAACCACCCAAUCUGAAACCACGGGGAUAUAUAAAGGGCUAUGUGAAAGGUGGCAACAAAUGAAGUGAAAAAGUGAACUGAGACUCAGUUUCAGGUCCUUGCUUUCCUAGAUGUUUACUCUGCAACCGUAGCUCACCUUUGGAGACAUCCACAUGAAACUCUAUAAACGCAGCAAAUCUGCAAGAACUGCUUGUAGGUGCAAUACAGUCCUGCUUUGUGCUGUGGCUUGUGGUGCUCCACAGUACACUUUAGUAACCA